rnacentral:rRNA from 1 species
UGUAAGCGUAUACCAAAGUUGUUGCAGUUAAAACGCUCGUAGUCGGAAUUUGGCAGUUCCGGAUGUGUGCACGUCGUGUGCGCACUUCGCGGGGAUUGCUUUUGUGGUCUUGCGUAGGAUGAGGCACUUUUAUUAGUGAACGUCCUCACGCAACCACUUUUUACUGUGAGAAAAUCAGAGUGCUCAAAGCAGGCAUUUGCCGUGAAUGUAUUAGCAUGGAAUAAUAGAAUAGGACUUGGUUCUAGUUUGUUGGUUUGUUGGGACUGAGUAAUGAUUAAGAGGGACAGUUGGGGGCAUUUGUAUUUCGGUGCUAGAGGUGAAAUUCUUAGAUUACCGAAAGACAAACUGCUGCGAAAGCGUCUGCCAAGGAUGUUUUCAUUGA